rnacentral:rRNA from 1 species
UAGUCCACGCCGUAAACGAUGUCUACUAGCAGUUUGGAGCUUAAGCUCUGUCUUGCGCAGCUAACGCAUUAAGUAGACCGCCUGGGGAGUACGGCCGCAAGGUUAAAACUCAAAUGAAUUGACGGGGGCCCGCACAAGCGGUGGAGCAUGUGGUUUAAUUCGAUGCAACGCGAAGAACCUUACCUGCCCUUGACAUCCUCGGAACUUGACAGAGAUGACUUGGUGCCUUCGGGAACCGAGAGACAGGUGCUGCAUGGCUGUCGUCAGCUCGUGUCGUGAGAUGUUGGGUUAAGUCCCGUAACGAGCGCAACCCUUGUCUUUAGUUGCCAUCAUUAAGUUGGGCACUUUAAAGAGACUGCCGGUGACAAACCGGAGGAAGGUAAGGAUGACGUCAAGUCAGCAUGCCCCUUAUGCUCUGGGCUACACACGUGCUACAAUGGCCGUGACAAAGAGUUGCUACUUUGUGAAAACAAGCUAAUCUCAUAAACGCGGCCUCAGUUCGG